UGGCCCAGAUGUCCAGUCUAUAGUGACCUCAUCAUUUUCUAUCUGAUGCAGCUACACGCCCAGCCUUGAGGCUUCUACCCUAAUUCCAGAGCAGACCCAUUUUAACAGUUGGCUCAUGAAGAUGUAUUCACCUGCAGGCCAGGAGUGUGGAACUCAGGGUUCCUGUCUGCAGAGUUUUGGUUUGUGACCGAAAAGUUGCCAGCCAUAUUUCAAUUUCAUAAACAGAAUCCAAAGCCCUCUUGGGGGAUGACCCAUCAGAUACUUCCUGAUCAAGGCCAAGGGUAAGUCCCUUCUGGAUCAGUCCAGAACACCCAAGUGGAGGACAGUCCCAGUGUAGGCCAGGCUGGACCAGGAGGGCAGGGAAGAAAGCAGCUUUCCUAGCUAUGGCCAUGAGAUGACCAGGGAAGCUGGGUACUGUUAGCGGCUUUUAUAAAUGC
rnacentral:lncRNA from 1 species